rnacentral:rRNA from 1 species
GAUGAACGCUGGCGGCGUGCUUAACACAUGCAAGUCGAACGGAAAGGCCCAAGCUUGCUUGGGUACUCGAGUGGCGAACGGGUGAGUAACACGUGGGUGAUCUGCCCUGCACUUCGGGAUAAGCCUGGGAAACUGGGUCUAAUACCGGAUAGGACCACUUCUUGGAUGUUGUGGUGGAAAGUUUUUUCGGUGUGGGAUGAGCUCGCGGCCUAUCAGCUUGUUGGUGGGGUAAUGGCCUACCAAGGCGUCGACGGGUAGCCGGCCUGAGAGGGUGUACGGCCACAUUGGGACUGGGAUACGGCCCAGACUCCGACGGGAGGCAGCAGUGGGGAAGAUUGCACAAUGGGCGCAAGCCUGAUGCAGCGACGCCGCGUGGGGGAGGACGGCCUUCGGGUUGGAAACUCCUUUCGCUAGGGACGAAGCGUUUUGUGACGGUACCUGGAGAAGAAGCACCGGCUAACUACGUG